CGGAAUGUCAUGUGGUGGGCCUUGGAGAAACACAAAGUCCCAGCAAAGUACAUUACCCUCAUCAAGGACAUGUACAAUAAUGUUGUGACAAGCGUUCGAACAAGUGAUGUCGACACCGAUGACUUCCCGAUUAAGAUAGGACUGCAUCAGGGGUCAGCUUUGAGCCCUUAUCUUUUUGCAUUGGUGAUGGAUGAGGUCACAAGGGGUAUACAAGGAGAUAUCCCAUGGUGUAUGCUCUUUGCGGAUGAUGUGGUGCUAGUUGACGAUAGUCGGACGGGGGUAAAUAGGAAGUUAGAGUUAUGGAGACAAACCUUGGAAUCGAAAGGGUUUAGGCUUAGUAGAACUAAAACCGAGUACAUGAGGUGCGGUUUCAGUACUACUAGCUGCGAGGAGGAGGAGGUUAGCCUUGAUGGCCAGGUGGUACCUCGGAAGGACACCUUUCGGUAUUUGGGGUCAAUGUUGCAGGAGGAUGGGGGUAUUGAUGAAGAUGUGAACCAUCGAAUCAAAGCCGGAUGGAUGAAGUGGCGCCAAGCUUCUGGCAUUCUCUGUGACAAGAGAGUGCCACAAAAGCUAAAAGGCAAGUUCUACAGGACGGCGGUUCGACCCGCAAUGUUGUAUGGCGCGGAGUGUUGGCCGACUAAAAGGCGACAUGUUCAACAGUUAGGUGUGGCGGAGAUGCGUAUGUUGAGAUGGAUGUGUGGCCACACGAGGAAGGAUCGAGUCCGGAAUGAUGAUAUACGAGAUAGAGUUGGGGUAGCACCAAUUGAGGAGAAGCUUGUCCAACAUCGUUUGAGAUGGUUUGGGCAUAUUCAGCGCAGGCCUCCAGAAGCUCCAGUGCAUAGCGGACGGCUAAAGCGUGCGGAGAAUGUCAAGAGAGGGCGGGGUCGACCGAUUUUGACAUGGAAGGAGUCCGUUAAGAGAGACCUGAAGGAUUGGAGUAUCGACAAAGAGCUAGCUAUGGACAGGGGUGCGUGGAAGCUU
rnacentral:rRNA from 1 species